UGUAUAGAGGACGUUUUAAGCAAUAUUUAGGAAGCAAACAUCAAGUCUAUCAUAUGCCAGACACCAAGUGGAAACCUGGAUAAACAAAGAGAGAAUGUUUCUUCUGCAAAUCGCAGUGCCUGGGAUUUUGUGAACCUGGCUCUCUACUCCUUAUACCUUCAUAAGGGGAGCUCUGAGAGGAGGGAUAAAGGAAAGCAUGCCCCACUUCACCUGAAUGAGGAAUCAGCUGUGUCCAGUCAUGAUCCUGCCCGGGCCACAUGGCAGUUUGACCCCACAGACUCAGGUUCAAGGCUGAACUCAACUGUUUUCAGGCCAUGAGGUUCAAGCAAGAUAUCAGCUUCUUCUAUGUUCAGUUUCCUCCUUGGAAACAUCACAUCUGCCUCCCAGAGCCACUGUGAGGAUCAAAUGGAAUGAUGUAUGUGGAAGGGUAUUGUAAACUUGUGAUCACACUGUAAAUAUUCACGCGUAUAAACUUGUGGGUUAAAAGAAAGGGAAAGAAAGGUUUGGAUGUUCACAAGAAGUAGAAUUCACUUGCUUGGGCAUUUAAAAGUCACAGCCAAAUUGUCCAUCAGUUUUUGACUUUAAAGACUGAUAUUUUAGAGGAUACCUCUACAAAAUUGGACCUUUAAAUUUUGUUUUGUUUUGUUUUUAGUUUUCACAGUGUUGUAGAACAAGAAGGCAUUGUUAUCCUCAUUUUACAAGUGAGGACAAUGGUACAGAAAAAUUAUGUCACUUGCCCCAGGCCCCUUAUUACUUGGAAUCAAAAGCUUUCUGACUUUGACAGCCUAGAUAUUUGUCUCACAGCCUCCAGAGAGAGGAGAGAAUUUAUGUGGGAAGUUCAUUCUGAGAAAGGUUACAUGUUCUCUAAUGUAUGAUCAUUUUGCAUUAAUACUUUGCUCCAUCUAAGAAUUGUAUUGAUAUCUUAAAUCUUGUUCUGCAUUUCCCUAAUAAAAUAAAUGUUUUUAAAAAUCU